rnacentral:rRNA from 1 species
CCUACGGGUGGCAGCAGUGAGGAAUAUUGGUCAAUGGACGAGAGUCUGAACCAGCCAAGUAGCGUGAAGGAUGACUGCCCUAUGGGUUGUAAACUUCUUUUAUAUGGGAAUAAAAUGUUCCACGUGUGGGAUUUUGUAUGUACCAUAUGAAUAAGGAUCGGCUAACUCCGUGCCAGCAGCCGCGGUAAUACGGAGGAUCCGAGCGUUAGCCGGAUGUGUUGGGGUUAAAGGGAGCGUAGGUGGGUUGGUAAGUCAGUUGUGAGAGUUUGCGGCGCAACCGUAAAAUUGCAGUUGAAACUGGCAGUCUUGAUUACAGUAGAGGUGGGCGGAAUUCGUGGUGUAGCGGUGAAAUGCUUAGAUAUCACGAAGAACUCCGAUUGCGAAGGCAGUUCACUGGACUGCAACUGACACUGAGGCUCGAAAGUGUGGGUAUCAAACAGGAUUAGAUACCCCUGUAGUC